rnacentral:rRNA from 1 species
AUUGAACGCUGGCGGCAGGCUUAACACAUGCAAGUCGAGCGGAGAGAGGUAGCUUGCUACUGAUCUUAGCGGCGGACGGGUGAGUAAUGCUUAGGAAUCUGCCUAUUAGCGGGGGACAACAUUUCGAAAGGAAUGCUAAUACCGCAUACGUCCUACGAGAGAAAGCAGGGGAUCUUCGGACCUUGCGCUAAUAGAUGAGCCUAAGUCGGAUUAGCUAGUGGGUGGGGUAAAGGCCUACCAAGGCGACGAUCUGUAGCGGGUCUGAGAGGAUGAUCCGCCACACGGGGACUGAGACACGGCCCAGACUCCUACGGGAGGCAGCAGUGGGGAAUAUUGGACAAUGGGCGCAAGCCUGAUCCAGCCAUGCCGCGUGUGUGAAGAAGGCCUUAUGGUUGUAAAGCACUUUAAGCGAGGAGGAGGCUACUUUAGUUAAUACCUAGAGAUAGUGGACGUUACUCGCAGAAUAAGCACCGGCUAACUCGGUGCCAGCAGCCGCCGUAACAC